UACGAAGGGGGCUAGCGUUGUUCGGAAUUACUGGGCGUAAAGCGUGCGCAGGCGGUUUUGUAAGACAGGCGUGAAAUCCCCGGGCUCAACCUGGGAAUGGCGCUUGUGACUGCAAAGCUGGAGUGCGGCAGAGGGGGAUGGAAUUCCGCGUGUAGCAGUGAAAUGCGUAGAUAUGCGGAGGAACACCGAUGGCGAAGGCAAUCCCCUGGGCCUGCACUGACGCUCAUGCACGAAAGCGUGGGGAGCAAACAGG
rnacentral:rRNA from 1 species